GAUGAACGCUGGCGGCGUGCUUAACACAUGCAAGUAGAACGAUGAAGCCCAGCUUGCUGGGUGGAUUAGUGGCGAACGGGUGAGUAACACGUGAGUAACCUGCCCUUAACUCUGGGAUAAGCCUGGGAAACUGGGUCUAAUACCGGAUAGGAGCGCCUACCGCAUGGUGGGUGUUGGAAAGAUUUAUCGGUUUUGGAUGGACUCGCGGCCUAUCAGCUUGUUGGUGAGGUAAUGGCUCACCAAGGCGACGACGGGUAGCCGGCCUGAGAGGGUGACCGGCCACACUGGGACUGAGACACGGCCCAGACUCCUACGGGAGGCAGCAGUGGGGAAUAUUGCACAAUGGGCGCAAGCCUGAUGCAGCGACGCCGCGUGAGGGAUGACGGCCUUCGGGUUGUAAACCUCUUUCAGUAGGGAAGAAGCGAAAGUGACGGUACCUGCAGAAGAAGCACCGGCUAACUACGUG
rnacentral:rRNA from 1 species